rnacentral:rRNA from 1 species
AUGCCCCGGCAAACGUUCUUUGUCGACCGUGUUCCUAGCCCGCCCCGCGCACCGAGCCCACCCAGAGUGCGCGGCCUGACGCCGACGCUCUCUCCCUUCCCGUCUCCGGCGCCACCGCCACCUCCCACCAUGACGGGCGAGGAGGAGUGGCUGGUGCAGGACGUGAUGGACUCCAAGAGGGAGUUCAAGCGCAGCCAGGAGGAGCAAUGGGAGGAGCUGCACGAGAUGAUGGCGCUCUCGACCGCCGGAGAUGUUUACGUCCCGGAGCUGGAUGUGAAGCAAGAGGUGAAGGAGGAGAUGAUGGAGGACCGGCUGCCCACCCCGGUAUGGAACCCUACGAUGUAUGGGUAG